CCCUGUAUCGAAAGUGACUGUGGGGUCAUGUGUCUCCAGGUCAUUGAUAAUGCAGGAACAUGAGUCUGAGAGCCUUUCCCUGUGUGUGAGGGAUCUGUGCCUUCUCACCCUGGUGCUCUCAAACA
ensembl:snoRNA SNORA71 Small nucleolar RNA SNORA71